rnacentral:lncRNA from 1 species
UUAAAUAAUAAACAAAACAUAAACUAAAAGAAUAAAAGAAACAAAAGAAGAAAAGAAACAGAAUAGGAAAGGACGAAACAUAGAAGAAACAGGGGAGAAAGAAGAAAAAGAAAGAAAAAGGAAAAAUUGAAGGUUUAAGGUUUAAAGCUUUGAUUGGUAAGUCAAAUUAGCCAUUUUCUCUUAAUUCUAAUGUUUUAAAAGCUUUAAAACAAAGUUUUGAUGGAAUUAAGUUGAUAUUUUGUAAGUUCAUAGGUUUUCAAGUAUAGUUUAUGUUGAACAAAAGAGAUGAAUAAGGGAUUAAAUUGAAUGAAUUUUAAGUUAGAAUUGAAAAAGGGAUUAAAUUGUAAAAGAAACUAUGAGUUUUAUGUUUUAGGGACUAAAUUGAGGGAAAUUCUAAAUUAGGAAAAUAUGCUGAAAUUUUGAUAGUUAAAUUUGAGUUUGGAUGGAAUUUGAAUAGAAAUAGAGUGUGAAUUGAGUUAGGAAAAUAAGUGAAUUUAGUUAGGAUUAAAUUGAGAAUAAAGAAGAAAUUGAAUAGAAAUUCAAUUAUUUAUCAUAAUUAGUGCUGAAAUUAAUAGUAUAAAUUAUUAUUAUUUUCGUAGCUAACAAAGAACCCGAGGCACCAGCAUCAAAGGGAAAUGAGAAGAUUAUCGAGUAAACUCGAGAAAAUCACGGUUUGUAUUACUAUAAUUCAAAUUAUUUAUUUUUAAAUGUUAAAUUUUAAUUUAUGUGUUUAGUAAAUGAAAUGUGAGGUAAGUAUGAAUAUUAGUAUUAGUAUUAGUAUUAGUAUUAGUAUUAGUAUUAGUAUUAGUAUUAGUAUUAGUAUUAGUAUUAGUAUUAGUAUUAGUAUUAGUAUUAGUAUUAGUAUUAGUAUUAGUAUUAUUAUUAUUAUUAUUAAAAUGAGUGGGAAUUAAAUAAUUGAUAUGAAUUAAUAUUUGAAUUGUUUGUUGAUUGAAAAUGGGAAGUGAAUGUGAAUCGAAGUGUGACUGAUAUUAAAUUGAAUGGAAAUGUAUUGAGUUGUGAAAAUGUAUGAAUUGUGGAUUAAUUAUUGAUUGAAAGGUGGAAAAAUGAUUGAAUUGAAAAUGUGAGAAAUUGUGAUUGAAUUGAGAUUAUAUGUGAUUUAGAUACCCUAUUAACUAGUCGAGCUGAGUCGGAUAUAGUUGGCAUGCCAUAGGAUUGGAAGAGUUCAGGGAUACUUCGACCUCGAGUCGAUGAGACAUUGGGUGCCACUAUAUUUCUUCGGAUAGAUUCGAUGAGGUACUAGGUACCAACUUUCUUCGGCUUUGCCGAUGAGACACUGGGUGUCAACUAUUGCUUCGAACUAUCCGAUGAGGCACUGGGUGCCAUAUUGGUGUGUUUGGUUGGAUCCGUGUAUCCGUCAAAGUCCGAGUUUUGUUAAUAGGGUAAAUGAUGAAAUGAUAAACCGAACGAGUUGAUCAAACGAGAUACUGAUAUGAAAUGAAAAAGUUGAAUUGUGAAUUGAAUUGUGCUACGAGACUGAGAAAUGAACCUAAAGUUCAUGAUAUGUCUAAAAUCAAAUUGUGGAUGUAUGAUAUUAAUUGAUGAAUUGCUAUUGUUGAGAUAUUGAAUUAAAAUUUGUAUAUAAGAUUUAUGCAUUAUAUGUUUAUUGUUGUUAUAAUUUGAAUUAUGGUAAUACCACUGAGUAUGAAAUACUCAGCGUACGGUUGUUUCCGUGCGCAGGUCGAUAGAAGUUAAAGGUCCCGGUUCAGCAUCCAGAUCAAUCCCGACUUCAGCAAAACUUGGUGAUGUAUUUUUCCUUUGGUAAAGGUGGCAUGUACAUAGAUUGUGUAUAAAGGUUAUUAUGUUUUAAUAUAAAUGGUUAAAAAUGUUAGUAUUAAAAGUUUAUGAAUUUUAAUGAAAGAAGUUUAUCUAUUUUACCUAAUUAGUACAUUGUUAAAUUUUAAAUUGAUAUCAUAUAGAUUGAGUUUGAUUAGAAGUAUUUAGAAUAGGAAAUGAGAAUAUGACAUGAAUUGGUUGAUUUGAUCAUAUUUGCAAUUGGUAUGGUUUUAAAUUGCAGGGGG